rnacentral:rRNA from 1 species
UUGGAGGGCAAGUCUGGUGCCAGCAGCCGCGGUAAUUCCAGCUCCAAUAGCGUAUAUUAAAGUUGUUGCAGUUAAAAAGCUCGUAGUUGAAUUUCGGGAUCAAUGUUUCGGUCAUGCCGUUGGUAUGUACUGAUAUUAUUGGUUUCUCACCUUCUAAAGAACCGUAAUGCCAUUAAUUUGGUGUCACGGGGAAUUAGGACUGUUACCUUGAAAAAAUUAGAGUGUUUAAAGCAGGCUCACGCUUGAAUACGUUAGCAUGGAAUAAUGAAAUAGGACAUCCGAUUCUAUUUUGUUGGUUUCUAGGAUCGAUGUAAUGAUUAAUAGGGAUAGUUGGGGGCAUUAGUAUUCAAUUGUCGGAGGUGAAAUUCUUGGAUUUAUUGAAGACUAACUACUGCGAAAGCAUUUGCCAAGGAUGUUUUCAUUAAUCAAGAACGAAGGUUAGGGGAUCGAAGACGAUCAGAUACCGUCGUAGUCUUAACCAUAAACUGUGCCGACUAGGGAUCGGAUGAUGUUAAUUUUUUAAUGACUCAUUCGGCGCCUUACGGGAAACCAAAGUGUUUGGGUUC